CUCGCCCCGCCCCCCGGCACCCCGCCCCUCCCGCAGACCCUCGGCUCGCAGUUCAGCGCCGCCUGCGCCCGGAGCGCUGGCUCCGCCGGCGCCGAGAAAUGGACCAAUUUUGACAAGAUGUAGUGCUGUAGCGUGCCUGAUGGGAUAUGUUCAGUCAUGGCAUCUGAACUCUGUAAGACGAUCUCUGUGGCAAGGCUGGAAAAGCACAAGAAUUUGUUCUUAAAUUAUAGGAAUCUGCACCAUUUUCCAUUGGAGUUACUGAAAGAUGAGGGACUACAGUACUUGGAGAGGCUCUAUAUGAAAAGGAACUCCCUUACAACCUUGCCAGAAAACCUUGCUCAGAAGCUUCCAAACCUUGUGGAACUGUACCUUCACUCAAAUAACAUAGUUGUGGUUCCAGAAGCCAUUGGAUCCCUCAUAAAACUCCAGUGUUUGGAUCUUAGUGACAAUGCCUUAGAAAUUGUUUGCCCAGAAAUUGGUCGUCUGAGAGCUUUACGUCAUCUUCGAUUAGCUAAUAACCAACUGCAAUUCCUACCUCCAGAGGUUGGCGAUUUGAAGGAGCUGCAGACACUAGACAUUUCUACCAAUCGUUUGCUAAAUUUACCCGAGAGGCUUCACAUGUGCCUUUCUCUGCAGUACCUCACCGCGGACCGCAAUCGUCUAUGGUGCGUGCCGCGUCAUCUCUGCCAGCUGCCCAGCCUCAACGAGCUCUCCAUGGCUGGAAACCGUCUCGCAUUUUUGCCACUUGAUCUAGGUCGAUCUCGAGAACUACAGUACGUGUACGUGGAUAACAACAUUCACCUGAAAGGCUUACCAUCCUAUCUGUACAAUAAAGUCAUCGGGUGCAGUGGCUGUGGUGCUCCCAUUCAAGUUUCCGAGGUGAAGCUGCUUUCUUUCUCAUCGGGGCAGCUCACUGUGUUCCUCCCUGCCGAGGUGAAGGCCAUAGGGACAGAGAAUGAUCACGUCCUGCCUCUGCAAGAGUUGGCCAUGAGGAGUCUCCAUCACACCUACCACAGUUUUCUUAAAGAUUUGAACUUUCUGUCUCCAAUCUCAUUACCCAGAAGUCUCCUGGAGCUGCUGCACUGCCCCCUGGGACACUGUCACCGGUGUAGUGAGCCCAUGUUUACGAUUGUCUACCCCAAGCUCUUUCCCUUGAGAGAGACGCCGAUGGCAGGGCUGCACCAGGGGUAAUCAUGCCUAAGUGGGCACCAGGGCUUACACCUGGGCGAGGGGUGGAGACCAUGCAUGAAAGCAUUGUUAAGUCACCAGCUGUCAAGGAGGACAACAGUGAGCUUCGUGGCUUACUGCUGCUCCACCCAGUGUCUGCAGACUUUUGACCUACUGAGCUGAUAAACACCGAGAGCCCCAGGAGCCCUGCCAGCCUGACACCGCAGCCGCCUGCAGAGCGCACCCUGUUUGUGUCCAGCCUGGCGGAACAGGCCCUCACAUCCUGUCCUGUGCCAUGCUGCGGGGGGAGCUGCCGAACUCUCUGGAAAUGUCAUGAUGGAGCUUCUGAGCUGAAAUGCCUUCACCCUACCCCCCCCCCCCACCCCACGUUGGAAUAUAUCCUACCCCAAAUUAA